rnacentral:rRNA from 1 species
ACGCUGGCGGCAUGCCUAAUACAUGCAAAUCGAACGAAGCCUUUUAGGCUUAGUGGUGAACGGGUGAGUAACACGUAUCCAAUCUACCCUUAAGUUGGGGAUAACUAGUCGAAAGAUUAGCUAAUACCGAAUAAUAACAUCAAUAUCGCAUGAGAAGAUGUAGAAAGUCGCUCUUUGUGGCGACGCUUUUGGAUGAGGGUGCGACGUAUCAGAUAGUUGGUGAGGUAAUGGCUCACCAAGUCAAUGACGCGUAGCUGUACUGAGAGGUAGAACAGCCACAAUGGGACUGAGACACGGCCCAUACUCCUACGGGAGGCAGCAGUAGGGAAUUUUUCACAAUGGGCGCAAGCCUUAUGAAGCAAUGCCGCGUGAACGAUGAAGGUCUUAUAGAUUGUAAAGUUCUUUUAUAUGGGAAGAAACGCUAAAAUAGGAAAUGAUUUUAGUUUGACUGUACCAUUUGAAUAAGUAUCGGCUAACUAUGUGCCAGCAGCCGCGGUAAUACAUAGGAUGCAAGCGUUAUCCGGAUUUACUGGGCGUAAAACGAGCGCAGGCGGGUUUGUAAGUUUGGUAUUAAAUCUAGAUGCUUAACGUCUAGCUGUAUCAAAAACUGUAAACCUAGAGUGUAGUAGGGAGUUGGGGAACUCCAUGUGGAGCGGUAAAAUGCGUAGAUAUAUGGAAGAACACCGGUGGCGAAGGCGCCAACUUGGACUAUCACUGACGCUUAUGCUCGAAAGUGUG